AUUGAACGCUGGCGGCAUGCCUUACACAUGCAAGUCGAACGGCAGCACGGGAGUAAUCCUGGUGGCGAGUGGCGAACGGGUGAGUAAUAUAUCGGAACGUGCCCAGUCGUGGGGGAUAACGCAGCGAAAGCUGUGCUAAUACCGCAUACGAUCUACGGAUGAAAGCGGGGGAUCGCAAGACCUCGCGCGAUUGGCGCGGCCGAUAUCAGAUUAGCUAGUUGGUGGGGUAAAGGCCCACCAAGGCGACGAUCUGUAGCUGGUCUGAGAGGACGACCAGCCACACUGGAACUGAGACACGGUCCAGACUCCUACGGGAGGCAGCAGUGGGGAAUUUUGGACAAUGGGCGCAAGCCUGAUCCAGCAAUGCCGCGUGCAGGAUGAAGGCCUUCGGGUUGUAAACUGCUUUUGUACGGAACGAAACGGCCCUUUCUAAUACAGGGGGCUAAUGACGGUACCGUAAGAAUAAGCACCGGCUAACUACGUGCCAGCAGCCGCUGUAA
rnacentral:rRNA from 1 species